rnacentral:lncRNA from 1 species
GGGAAAGCCACCUCCGUGGGGCACAGGUCAGCAGACAAGCUGGGUUGGUCAACUCUUCCCUUGUGGUGGCCUCUCGUGGCCCAGGGAUCAAGAUGAGCCUCAGGAACAGGGCUGCCUGCUCAGGCAGCUCACAGGAGGAGCCUCCCCCAGCCCAGAAGGCACACCAGGAUGCACAGAGGGCCCCAAGAGCACAGAAAAUGUCCCUCAGGCCUGGAGACAAUCUGAAGGCUCAUGACCCUAUAAGAGCUCCAGCCUCCACCCAUAGAAACCAGCUGCCCCCGCUCUUCCUUAAAUACUGCAACCAUAACUCCCCCACCUCUUUCUUUCCCUUUUGUCCCUGCAAAGAUAAAGGAAAUGAUAAAUUCCUUGGAGUACAUUUAUAAAGUAGCACAUUUCUAAUAUAUUUAUUCAGGUUCUAACCUUCUGCUGUACAUGAGUAGACAGAAAUGCAUCUGUUACAAAAAUGAGGAAAUGCUAAUGGAGCAUGCUUUUAAAAUCCUUGAAAAACACCAUUUAUCCCUGGAUUUGGGCUUGCCAGUGUUCUUUUUUUUGUUCAUGUAUGUUCUCAAAAUCUCAUGUGUGCUGUGCUAAUUCAAGAAGAACAGUUUCUUCCUGGAUUCCUGAUUUGAUUGACUUAAUUAUACAUGACCUAACUAUACUCGAAUAUUACGAAUAUAAAUGGGUAAAAGUAAAUUACUCUUCUGAAAAUGUGUCCUGUGCUUUUGACUUUUUAAGUUCCAUAAAUACAACAGUCU